AUUGAACGCUGGCGGCAUGCCUUACACAUGCAAGUCGAACGGCAGCACGGGUACUUGCACCUGGUGGCGAGUGGCGAACGGGUGAGUAAUACAUCGGAACAUGUCCUGUAGUGGGGGAUAGCCCGGCGAAAGCCGGAUUAAUACCGCAUACGAUCUACGGAUGAAAGCGGGGGACCUUCGGGCCUCGCGCUAUAGGGUUGGCCGAUGGCUGAUUAGCUAGUUGGUGGGGUAAAGGCCUACCAGGCGACGAUCAGUAGCUGGUCUGAGAGGACGACCAGCCACACUGGGACUGAGACACGGCCCAGACUCCUACGGGAGGCAGCAGUGGGGAAUUUUGGACAAUGGGCGAAAGCCUGAUCCAGCAAUGCCGCGUGUGUGAAGAAGGCCUUCGGGUUGUAAAGCACUUUUGUCCGGAAAGAAAUCCUUGGCCCUAAUACGGUCGGGGGAUGACGGUACCGGAAGAAUAAGCACCGGCUAACUACGUG
rnacentral:rRNA from 1 species